rnacentral:snRNA from 7 species
AUACUUACCUGGUAGGAGAGACACCAUGAUCAGGCAGGUGGUUUUCCCAGGGCGAGGCUCAUCCUCUGCACUAUUUUUUUUUUAAGAUCAGGAACAGAUACUCCUGGAAGAUAUUUCAAAACAUACGGAAGACAGGGAGGUGAUUCUAGAAAGCCAGCCUGGC